rnacentral:rRNA from 1 species
AUGUUGAUUAGUAGGGUAGAUCUCUGUUGCACAGUCGAGAUGUGUUCAGUCCAACCCCGUGGCAUUAGGGACGUUGAGUUCGUCGCGAGCAGUAGUACAUGGUUGUUGUCUUACUCCAGCAGCCAGCCCAGCCUUCCCUCCUGGUCAUCAGUCCAACUUCUUGCUCCGACGUCGGUCACUCAAAGCGUGCAGGACACCCGUGUUUCACCUCCUGAUCCAGCUCAACUUUCUCCAUUCUUCAGCAUUUUUGAUUGUCGCAUGAUACUUGUAUUGGGUGCUAGAGUUCAUGUAUUACUGCCAGGGUAUGACCGGCGACAACGAGUAGGUGGCAAGUGUACCACAUCGAGCAACAAGACAGAGAGUUUGUUUUCAGAAAAGCUCCAUGGUGUUUCUUCGGCUACAGCAUCCAUGCAUCCAAGUCGAGCUCUGACCGCAGUCCAAGUGGAACUGCGACCACCAUCUUCACUCAGUGCUUCACCCAUUGAUCACCCACACACACGAGGGAGGCUGGAGCGACUGCAGACUGGUGACGAGAACCACUUCAGUUCUGUUGUUCGUGUAUUGGAAGUACGUAUCCUCUAUCCAAGCAGGAGGUAG